rnacentral:rRNA from 2 species
GGUUAAGCGACUAAGCGUACACGGUGGAUGCCCUGGCAGUCAGAGGCGAUGAAGGACGUGCUAAUCUGCGAUAAGCGUCGGUAAGGUGAUAUGAACCGUUAUAACCGGCGAUUUCCGAAUGGGGAAACCCAGUGUGUUUCGACACACUAUCAUUAACUGAAU